rnacentral:rRNA from 1 species
GGGCGACCGGCCACACUGGGACUGAGACACGGCCCAGACUCCUACGGGAGGCAGCAGUGGGGAAUAUUGCACAAUGGGCGGAAGCCUGAUGCAGCGACGCCGCGUGAGGGAUGACGGCCUUCGGGUUGUAAACCUCUUUCGACAGGGACGAAGCGCAAGUGACGGUACCUGGAGAAGAAGCACCGGCCAACUACGUGCCAGCAGCCGCGGUAAGACGUAGGGUGCGAGCGUUGUCCGGAUUUAUUGGGCGUAAAGAGCUCGUAGGCGGCUCGUCGCGUCGACCGUGAAAACCCACAGCUUAACUGUGGGCUUGCGGUUGAUACGGGCGGGCUAGAGUUCGGUAGGGGAGACUGGAAUUCCUGGUGUAGCGGUGAAAUGCGCAGAUAUCAGGAGGAACACCGGUGGCGAAGGCGGGUCUCUGGGCCGAUACUGACGCUGAGGAGCGAAAGCGUGGGGAGCGAACAGGAUUAGAUACCCUGGUAGUCCACGCUGUAAACGUUGGGCGCUAGGUGUGGGGGGCCUCUCCGGUUCUCUGUGCCGCAGCUAACGCAUUAAGCGCCC